rnacentral:rRNA from 1 species
UACGAAGGGGGCUAGCGUUGUUCGGAAUUACUGGGCGUAAGGCGCGCGCAGGCGGUCUUCCAAGUCAGUGGUGAAAGCCUGGAGCUCAACUCCAGAACUGCCAUUGAAACUGUUAGACUUGAGUACGAGAGAGGUGAGUGGAAUUCCCAGUGUAGAGGUGAAAUUCGUAGAUAUUGGGAAGAACACCAGUGGCGAAGGCGGCUCACUGGCUCGUAACUGACGCUCAGGCGCGACAGCGUGGGGAUCAAACAGG